UGGCCUUGGGAGAUAGUCACGAGCAAAGCUAGUUAGCUCGUCUCCUUAAUAUUUGUAAUUCAUCGCUCGCUCUCUCUCUCUCUCUCUCUCAAAUUCGCUCAACAAAGCAAGCUGCUUUAAAUCGAUCUUCCCUGGUCUGGUUUCUAACUUCCUUUGUGCUCUUCUGGACGUAUCCUUUUAAUCUCAAUAUCUGGUGGUCAAACUAAGUUUUAUACUAAUGUGAAAAAAAAAAGUAAAUCGCAGGUUUUGAUUAGCUGUACACGAAAGAACAUCUAGUGUCGGUGAAAUUGAUAACUUUGUUUAGACAUCAUCACUCAUCUCUGUUUCCUUGAGGAUGGCUUAGAUUUGCUUACGACUUGGUGCAUAUUUUCUGAGAGAUAUUCAGCUGCAAACGAGGAUGGAUGGUGGAAACAAGAGAGAAGAAGAAGUUAGUUAUUAGUUUGUGAGUUUGGUUUUUGCCAGCCUCUCUUAAGUAACUUUAUAGAUUGGAGAAUGUGUUUCUGUCUCCCUUUUGUUAACAACAGAUUAAGAAACUGUCUUGCUUUUAUUGUUUCCAACUCACUUGAGAUUACAUCAGCUAUGAAGCUUUUUGAUU